rnacentral:rRNA from 1 species
GACGAGCGCUGGCGGCAUGCCUAACACAUGCAAGUCGAACGAGAUCUUCGGGUCUAGUGGCGCACGGGUGCGUAACGCGUGGGAAUCUGCCCUUUGGUUCGGAAUAACAGUUGGAAACGACUGCUAAUACCGGAUGAUGACGAAAGUCCAAAGAUUUAUCGCCAGAGGAUGAGCCCGCGUAGGAUAAGCUAGUUGGUGUGGUAAAGGCGCACCAAGGCGACGAUCCUUAGCUGGUCUGAGAGGAUGAUCAGCCACACUGGGACUGAGACACGGCCCAGACUCCUACGGGAGGCAGCAGUGGGGAAUAUUGGACAAUGGGCGAAAGCCUGAUCCAGCAAUGCCGCGUGAGUGAUGAAGGCCUUAGGGUUGUAAAGCUCUUUUACCCGGGAUGAUAAUGACAGUACCGGGAGAAUAAGCUCCGGCUAACUCCGUGCCAGCAGCCGCAGUAA